GAAGUAAGUCAGACAGUCGCGGGCACAAAAACCGAAAGGUUGUGCGUGAGGAACGUCCGAGCUUCAUAGAGCAGGGUGCUGGAUAACACCCAGUCAAGGUGACUUGAAGGAAAGUGCAACAGAAAUAAACCACCUACUUAUGUAGGAAAGGAUGGAAAGGCGAGGUAAGAGCUCACCGUCCUCUAGGUGACUAGAGGAGCAAUGUAAACCCCACCCGAAGCAAGACCGUACAAAAACUAAUAUGGCUGCUCGUCAUAGUUUUAGGUUGGUCGCUAAAGCAACUAGGCAACUAUUUGCGUAGAUAGAUGACUGUCAAAUACAGGACUCGGCGUAUAGAUUUGGUUUUCAA
rnacentral:RNase_P_RNA from 2 species